CCUACGGGAGGCAGCAGUGAGGAAUAUUGGUCAAUGGACGAGAGUCUGAACCAGCCAAGUAGCGUGAAGGAUGACUGCCCUAUGGGUUGUAAACUUCUUUUAUAUGGGAAUAAAACAGGGUAUGCAUACCCUCUUGUAUGUACCAUAUGAAUAAGGAUCGGCUAACUCCGUGCCAGCAGCCGCGGUAAUACGGAGGAUCCGAGCGUUAUCCGGAUUUAUUGGGUUUAAAGGGAGCGUAGGUGGAUUGUUAAGUCAGUUGUGAAAGUUUGCGGCUCAACCGUAAAAUUGCAUUUGAAACUGGCAGUCUUGAGUACAGUAGAGGUGGGCGGAAUUCGUGGUGUAGCGGUGAAAUGCUUAGAUAUCACGAAGAACUCUGAUUGCGAAGGCAGCUCACUGGACUGCAACUGACACUGAUGCUCGAAAGUGUGGGUAGCAAACAGGAUUAGAUACCCGUGUAGUC
rnacentral:rRNA from 1 species